GUGCUGCAUGGCUGUCGUCAGCUCGUGCCGUGAGGUGUUGGGUUAAGUCCCGCAACGAGCGCAACCCUCGCCUUUAGUUGCCAGCAUUCAGUUGGGCACUCUAAAGGGACUGCCGGUGAUAAGCCGAGAGGAAGGUGGGGAUGACGUCAAGUCCUCAUGGCCCUUACGGGCUGGGCUACACACGUGCUACAAUGGUGGUGACAAUGGGUUAAUCCCAAAAAGCCAUCUCAGUUCGGAUUGGGGUCUGCAACUCGACCCCAUGAAGUCGGAAUCGCUAGUAAUCGCGUAACAGCAUGACGCGGUGAAUACGUUCCCGGGCCUUGUACACACCGCCCGUCACACCAUGGAAGCUGGUCACACCCAAAGUCGUUAUUCUAACCGUUUGGAGGAAGGCGCCUAAGGUAGGAUUGGUGACUGGGGUGAAGUCGUAACAAGGUAGCCGUACCGGAAG
rnacentral:rRNA from 1 species